CUUCAAGCUGCUGAUCACAACCCUUUUGAGCCCAUCACUUUAGUCAGUUUUCAAUUCACCUCACUGUCUCAUAUAUUUAGCCCAUGCUUCACAAGCUUGUCUGUGAGGAUGUUAACAAGAGACAGUGUGAAAAGCCUUACUAGAGAUAAACCACAUCCAUUGCUCUCCCCUCACCCACCAAGCCCAUCAUCUCAUCAUGGAAAGCUACCAGGUUUGUCAGACAUAAUUUCCCCUUGAUAAAUCUGUGCUUCCUGCUCCUGAUCACCUUUCUAUCUUUCAAAUAUCUAGAAGUGGUUUCCAGGAUUAGCUGCUCCAUCACCUUGCCAGGGAUUGAGGUGAGGCUGGCCUGCCUGUAGUUGCCUGGCUCCUUCUUGCCCUUGAAUAGGAGUGACAUUUGUGCUCUUUCAGUGCUCAGGAAUCUCCCCUGAUCACCAUGACCUUUCAGAGACAAUCAAGAGUGGCUUGGCAACGACACCAGCCAACACUUGGGUGCAUCUCAUCAGGGCCCAUGGUCUCGUCUGUCCAGUUUGUUUAAACAUUCCCCAACCUGCACUGAGGGCUCAACCUACAGCAGGAGCGAAUUCAGCUGCAGUGAAAACAGAGAUGCUGCAUGAAUCCUUCUGUCAGCACAGCAAUGGCAUUUCCAGGCUUUUGCAUUUGGGAAGGGGAGGAAUGUGCCUCUGGGGACGGAGAACGCCACCACUUGCGGAUUCUCCCAUGGCAGGGAUUUCUGACUUGCCGCAUAGAAGGAUGCACCUGGAAGGCAGUAACAUGCAGAAAUGACAUUUCCAUCCCGUCCUUGAUCAUCUGUCGUAAGACAGUCUGUUUCUAGGAAUACAGUUGCAUGACGAGAGACGGGUAAUCACAUAGCCAGGUGGGCAGCUAGGUUCUCAGACCUGUUCUUCCUACAGAACAUUUUAAUAUUUGUGAAGGUACAUGACUGGAACAGAAGGAGAUGAGUCAGGAAAAGAAAGGAAGUACUAACAGCUAGGGAGAGUUGUGACUAAAAUUUAGCCACCUGAAGCAGAUACAUACACUUUGGUGUAUGAGACACCUGGACAUCUGUAGCUGGUCUUUAAAAUGGGCAAAAAUAUCAAAAGCAAGCAUUCGUUCCGUUGGCUUGAAAGAAAUAUCUCCUAUCUGCACAGAGAGCCCUGCCCCUUACAGAGUUGCCUCGGCAUGGAUAAAAUUCAGAUGGCAGCAAACACAUAACAAACAACAUCUUAUUCUCAGUGCGUGGGCCCAUCUCUGCAGGAUUCCCCACCUGGAACAAUUUCCUGGAGACCCUGGUUCUGCAGCCGGGAGCCGUUCGCUGCUUUGGAGGCUUCAUCCCCCCAGCUCGGCUCGUCUGGCAGGUACCUCCUCAGCUCAGCCGCUGACGGCAAGCGAGAGGAGGGGAGCGAGGAGAUCCUUGCAGACAGUUCAAACGCAGACUAAGAGGCAUGUGUUGAAAUGCCGUCAAAGUAGCAGGAAUUCAUUUUAUUGAAGAAUACAUAUAAUAAAGAUAGAACAAAGGGACUGAAAUGGUGAACAGAUGGGCGGGUGUUCUUCGGUGGCUCAGGAGCUGUGUGAACAUGCUGGUUUAUGCCCUCCCCCUCUUUCUGCUUUUUUUUUUCUUGGUUUGGUUUGGUUUAGUUUUGAUGCAUCAGGGUAGGAUGUGAGAUGAUAUGACAGUAUAUGUCAGAAACUUGGGGGAAAAUAAAACCCCCUUUUUUUAACAUCAAACUACUGCUAUCAAUAGGAACAGCAACUGUUCAAAAUUUGUUUCAGAGCUGCCAAGAAGUGAACAUUCACAGGAGAGAGAGAAAGAGAGAGAGAGAAGGGAAAAAAUAUUUUUCCCUGCUGUUUGCAAGGUGGACACAAAUGCAAGCGGUAGGAGGCUGACAACUUGACACAUGUCUAAUAAAUCUAAAGCACAGAAAAAAAGUCAACAAUUCACUGUACAAGAAAGCAUUACUGGGAUAAAAAGUACAAUCCAACAAACCCCCCACUUAAAAAUAUAUUUAUUCCCAAAUCAGUGAGGAACGUAGACAUUAGAGCCUCAAUUUCUCUUCCUCUCCCCGCCUGACGUUCCUUUUUCUGGUUUUCUUUUUUUUAAACCAGGGGCACAUUAGCUCCUGUGCUGAGGAAGCUGAGGUUCGCUGCAUUAUAAAUGAACAAGGUGCAAAAGCUGAGUCCAGCGAGCAGAUGUUGGGAGCUCAGCGUGCUGGUGACAAAGGGCUAGAGUGCAAGAAGCUUCCAUCGCACGUCUGUUCUUCAGCGCAGAGCAGGCAAGGUUUUAAUUUGACAAGUUGGUUGGAUGCAGGGAAUUCACAGAUCUCAGUGAAAGCCAAACUGAUUUGGCCACCUACUGCAUGGCCACAUUCAGCUAAAAGGGUAGCAGUUGUGGAAAUGUCUCCUGCUCCAGCCGCCUGACACCACGCACACAAUGGGGAGCCUCGAGGAGGUUUGUUUACCACAGGCAGCAAAUUCCUUUAAAAGGCAAGAAGGGGGAGAAAAAAGGAGUGGGAGAGAAAAAUCAUGCUUCUGUUACCAAUAUAAUUAAGGAUUUUUAUUUCAGGUACUGGUUGGUUAAACUUUAAAGCUCUUCACUUUUUUUUUUAAUAGUUGGUAUGUUAUGAAAUGCAAGAAUGAAAAUGAAUGCCAAAACUAAUGGAAAUUCUCCUACAAGCCUCAUGUAAACAAAAACAUCAGCAUUAAAGUUAUGAAUCUUAAUUUGUGCCACUGAGCUAAAAUUUGUAUCUUUCUGCAUUAAAGGAGUAUAGACAUACAGCACUGUGUAGUGUCUAUGUGCAAUACAGAAAACUGACAUGGUCUCUCCAAUUUAUGGGAAAAUUGACAUAAUUUUGCAAAAAAAAAAAGAAAAAAAGAAAAAACACUUGUGAACUGGAUUUUGCAUAAUGGGAUUAAUUUGGUUGACUGUCACAUCAACUGUGCUGCAGAAUGCAAGUUAAUCACAACAUCGGUCUGAUUUAAAAGAACGAAAGAAAGAAAGAAAAGAAAAAAAAAAAAAGGAAAGGUAUUUUCUUCCUCUCUUCAGUUAUUGUUUCAUUUUUAAACACCCUUGGGUUUUUUUUGUGGCUGUGAUAGCUCUGGCAAACAAGGCUGGUGUAUAUUUUCCAUGGCCACCUGAGUGGUCUUUUUUUCCUCCCCUACUCUGCACAGUGAAGGGGGAGAAAAAAAAGUCAACAGCUUUUCCAGGCUUGCGCAAAACUGCUUCCAAGGCAUGGCACAACUAUACACAUUUGAUCAACAUUUAAGCAGACCAACAGAGCCGAAGCAACUUUAAAUAUUUUGUCAUAUGGCUCUCACUUACUGCCUUUUCUUCCCCUUAACACUCUCUGCAAAAGCCGCUCUCAGCAUUGGACUCCCCACUGAACCAG